AUUGAACGCUGGCGGCAGGCAUAACACAUGCAAGUCGUCCGGAGAUGAGGUGCGUGCACCAUAGCUCAGCGGCGGACUGGCGAGUAAUGCGUAGGAAUCUGCCUAUUAGUGGGGGACAACAUUCCGAAAGGAAUGCUCAUACCUCAUACGUCCUACGGGAGAAAGGAGGGGAUCUUCGGCACUUCCGGUAAUAGAUGAGUCUUGGGCGGCUUAGUGAGUGGGUGGGGUAAAGGCCUACCAAGGGGACGACCUGGAGAGGGUCUGAGAGGAUGAUCCGCCACACUGGGACUGGGACACGGCCCAGACUCCUACGGGAGGCAGCAGUGGGGAAUAUUGGACAAUGGGGGGAACCCUGGUCCAGCCAUGCCGCGUGUGUGAAGAAGGCCUUAUGGUUGUAAAGCACUUUAAGCGAGGAGGAGGCUACUGAGACUAAUACUCUUGGAUAGUAGACGUUACUCGCAGAAUAAGCACCGGCUAACUCUGUGCCAGCCGCCGCGGUAAGAC
rnacentral:rRNA from 1 species